GACGAACGCUGGCGGCGUGCUUAACACAUGCAAGUCGAACGGAAAGGCCCUGCUUUUGUGGGGUGCUCGAGUGGCGAACGGGUGAGUAACACGUGAGUAACCUGCCCUUGACUUUGGGAAAACUUCAGGAAACUGGGGCUAAUACCGGAUAGGAGCUCAUGCUGCAUGGUGGGGGUUGGAAAGUUUCGGCGGUUGGGGAUGGACUCGCGGCUUAUCAGCUUGUUGGUGGGGUAGUGGCUUACCAAGGCUUUGACGGGUAGCCGGCCUGAGAGGGUGACCGGCCACAUUGGGACUGAGAUACGGCCCAGACUCCUACGGGAGGCAGCAGUGGGGAAUAUUGCACAAUGGGCGGAAGCCUGAUGCAGCAACGCCGCGUGCGGGAUGACGGCCUUCGGGUUGUAAACCGCUUUCGCCUGUGACGAAGCGUGAGUGACGGUAAUGGGUAAAGAAGCACCGGCUAACUACGUG
rnacentral:rRNA from 1 species